GUUGUAAAAUGCGCCGAUUUUCAAGACGGCACGCUCCUGUGCCGACUGUUUUUUUAAAGAAGUUGGUUUCAUAAGAAACACAUGCGUGAGUAGACGAGAUAUAUCCAGCUGCAGAACAUUGGAGUAAACUUUUGAUCCAAACUCCAAUCCAGGCGGUGGCGGUAAUGCUCCAAAAAGCUGGUUGCCGACUGCUAUGAAGAUCACAGGAAGAAAAAGAAGUUUGUUUGGUUUUUCAAAACUAUCACAUGGAUUCCAGUCAGAAAGAUGCAUAUGAGAAAGCUCGACUCAAACAUUCACAAGCAACUGUGAUUUCUGACUGGCAGACAGAUGAGGAUGAUGAUCGCCUGUCAUACACCUAAAGAAAGAACAGGGACAUUAAAGACAACUAUACCAUGAUGAAGAACAAUUACUUGGAACAAAGAGGCUGGAUAAAAGGCAGAUGCAGUGAGGACAAAUGUCCAUAUCACGCCACUGAUAAAGAGAUUGAAAAAUGCAUUACACAGUGGCUACAACUUGCUCCUGACAGGGAUGGAGAAAGGAGGGAAGAAGAGAAAGCUAAUGUUUCAACUGUUUACAUCAUUAUUCUAUUCUAUUCUAUUUUUUAAACAACAUUUUAUGUGUAUUAAGAUGAUCCCUGAUACUUGAGCAAUUUGUUUCUUUUCAAUUGCAUUUAUAUAUAUAUAUAUACUUUUUACAAUUUUGACUUGUAUAUUUUACGGAUUGUCAUAGGUAUUUGUAAGAUGUUUCUUGCUAUAUCUUAAAUUGAUUUCUAUAUUCAGGUUUAUAUAAAAUUUUGCUGUUUCAAGAUGUGUCUUGUACAAUUUUUUAAAGUCAUGUCUAUUGGGAAAACAGGGUUGUUUUAAAAACUUCUGUGUAUGUGUGCAAUUUCAGAUUUUUUCUUUAAGUCUUCCUGUGUGUCUUUAUGUUUUUAUUGUUUUUUUUUAUAUUGAUAUUCUUGUGCACUACAAAAUUAUUUAUUCAAUUUUAGUACUAUUUUUUUUUCUUGCAAUCAAUAAACGUUUAUCAUGUAUUUAUUUUGUCCUUUGUCUGAUUCUUUUCGUUAUAGUAUAUGUAUGCAGUUUGCAUUUUAUUCAAAGAUUAAACACAGUGCCUAUACUUUCUGUUUACAUUAUAGCCUGCGUUUGCUGUUAUAUAAAUUCAAAUGGUUG